rnacentral:misc_RNA from 1 species
UAUGCUACAGUCAAAAAUGUAUAAAUAGUAUACUCAAACAAUGUACUUAGAUUAAACAAACCAUUUGGAUUAAAGGAUAUACUGUUUCAGUCAAAACUAUAUAAAUAGUACACAAAAACAAUGUAUUUAGAUUAAAUAAAUGCACUUGGAUCAAAGUAUAUAAUGCUUCUCUCAAAACCAUAUAAAUAGAAUAUCAAAACAAUGCAUUUGGAUUAAAGAACAUAUGCUACCAUCGAAACUGAAGACCACUAUACAUAUGAGACACAGUAAUGCAGACAAACUGGGACUGAUGGGGAACUGUUCCCUUAGACUACUAUUUACACUAUGGCUCUGGACAAUCCUGGCAGUUCAAGGUACCUAUGGGUCAAAUGUUAAUGGUCAAAAGGUCAAAUGUCCUAGAACCUCCAAGUCAAGCAAUGGAAUAUGUUACGCUAUGGUGACAUCACACUGUGCCAAUUACAGCACAGCGCACUUUGCUUGCAAUGGACUGAGGGGCGAUGGGAUAGAGAACCCUCAUCUGUCAUCUAUCUCUAACAACACUCUCGACUCGCUCCUAAUUCAGGAAUACAAUGGUGGCAAAAGAUUCUAUUCAUUUGAUGGCAAACUGGAGGAAGUUAGAGAUGAUACAGUGUUCUGGGUUGCUAGGAGAGAUGACAACAACAAUACAGGUUGCUAUGUGAUACAAGUCAACACAGGGAGUCUUAUUAAACAAGAAUGCAGCGAGGAAAACAACUUUAUUUGUGCAUUAGAAACUAGAGGACCAUGGAUGAACACAUUGUAUAUGGACCCAACCUUUGAACAUGAAUUCAUCUGCCCUGGUACACCUAAAUCAGCAUACAAGCUUACCAGAAUCUCCACACUGAAAUUCCACACAAGGGAACCUAUUCUUAUGAAAGAACCAGACUAUGAUGGGAAUCUAGAGACUGAGAACAGCACUGCAUUUAGUGGAAAUCUAGAAACUAAUUCAACAACAGUGACAUCGAAAGAAACAAAAGAGAUUUCUUCAACAGAAGCAACGCCAUCUAUAAUGAACCAUAAUACAGUACAAAACACUACAAUAUUAACCUUGAAAGACAACAGGACUCAAAAUAUAUCUGACCCCAAAGAGAACAACAUUAAUAAGAUGGAGAUCAUAGUCCUACAUCCAAUUAAAGGAAUUUUUGUCCAUAACACAGACUACCACAGAGCCAAACGGAGGCAUUAUGAGCCAACAGAGGCCAAGCAAGCAGCUUUUGUGGGUUUUCCACCAGUUUGUGCUAUGGUGAUAUUCCUGGUUGUUAUUGUGCUUCUUGAUCUUCCGAAAAUCAAGCAUGAUCUGAUAAAUGGGUCAAAAUAAGGGACAUGGGGUCUACAUUUUGACAUGGGAUAUAAUUAGUGGGUCAAAAUAAGGGACAUGGGGUCGACGUUUUGACACGGGAUAUCACUAGUGGGUCAAAAUAAGACUCAUGGGUAUAUCAUGUCUCAUACUUUGCUCCAUGCUUAGUAAAUGGUUAGUUUGCCAUAUAUUUGAAGAAAAGUACUUUUAUAUCAAUUCCAGUUAUGAGAGAUAUUCCAGUUGAUUGGUUAGUACUGAUACGUAGAAAAGAUGUAGAUUAAUAAUAUAGGCCUUAUAGAAAACCUAAUUUAAGGGCAUAGUCAAGAUGCAAAACUAUGCCCAUGGCAUCAAUAAUUGUGGAGAAAUAAUUUAAUAUUACAUAUCGAAAUGUUGUUUGCCUUUGUUCUAUUAUUUAUAUACAUGUACGGUAUGUCCAUAUUGAACAUCUUUAGUAUUCUAGUAUUCAUAUUGUUUAAAAUAGAUGGCAUGCUAGGGCAGUAGAAAUAAAGGAUUGGUUAGUUAAGCUAUUUAAUUGUUG